AUAAAAUUCUCAGUUUUUCAAAAUUCCAAAUUCCAAAUUAAGAAAUGAAAUAAAAACCGCAACCGGACUUUUGGCUACAUUUGUCUAAAAUAAAAAACUCGUUAGAUAAAGAAGAAUAACAUAAAUUCGCUGGAAUUAUGGACCAUCGUUAACAAAUAGAUGUAAAUUUGUUUUUGGAGCAAGGUCCGAGGAUGUAGAGAUCCUUGUGUUUGCUCAUACACUUGAAUCGCGAACUCUGAACGUUGGUAUAUCGGAAUCGCUAUAUUAUAUUAUUGAGGCAUGGAGGCUGUCAUUAAUUUAUUUUCAUUUUAUGCUUCCAUAUCCUACACCGACGUUGACAGGUCUGCUGUAUAUUCAACAUGACACAAAAUACCAAAAUGAAGCAUUUUUGAACGGGGUGCAAGGUCCGAGGAUAUCAUAUCCUUGUGUUUGCCUCCGAGUAGUAGUAGUGGAGUAACAACGAAGAAAAACAAACAAAACAAGGUCCUUCUACUAGGAAACUUCCAAGCCGACUAACAUUUGAACA
rnacentral:sRNA from 1 species